AGCAGCCGCGGUAAUUCCAGCUCCAAUAGCGUAUAUUAAAGUUGUUGCAGUUAAAAAGCUCGUAGUUGAAUUUCGAGACCGGCUUACUGGUCGUGCUAUUGUACGUACUGGUAUAAUCGGUUUCUCCUUUCUGACGAACUAUAAUGCCAUUAAUUUGGUGUUUUAGGGAAUCAGGACUGUUACUUUGAAAAAAUUAGAGUGUUUAAAGCAGGCUCACGCUUGAAUACAUUAGCAUGGAAUAACGGAAUAGGACGUUUGAUUCUAUUUUGUUGGUUUCUAGGAUCGACGUAAUGAUUAAUAGGGAUAGUUGGGGGCAUUAGUAUUCAAUUGUCAGAGGUGAAAUUCUUGGAUUUAUUGAAGACUAACUACUGCGAAAGCAUUUGCCAAGGAUGUUUUCAUUAAUCAAGAACGAAAGUUAGGGGAUCGAAGACGAUCAGAUACCGUCGUAGUCUUAACCNUAAACUAUGCCGACUAGGGAUCGGAUGAUGUUAAUUUUUAAUGACUCAUUUCGGCGCCUUAC
rnacentral:rRNA from 1 species